UCUGAGACUAAGGGUGGUUCUCUCUUCUUUUUUAGGUAUUCCUUUCAUGCUCUCAUCUCGCAUUUGUACAAGACUAUAAUUUACUAUUGAUUAGGUUUAAAAAAGAAGCUUGUCUGAUUGAAAAGAGUUUAAAACCCAGCAGAACGACCCAGAGAGCACUGGUCUGUGCCAUGAUGCUGCUGGCCUCAGUGAAGCAGCCUGAGGGGUGUCCUUGAAUGCACUCUCCACACCUAGAGGAUGCAGAAAGGAUUUGCUCUCCCCAGAUGUCGUGGGCUCCAAAGGCCUCAGAAGGGCCUCAGAACUCUCUGGAACUGGCUUCAGUCAGGGAAAGCACUGGAUACACUUUUCUCCUGAGAAAUUUGGUGCUCUUACUCAUAACGAUGACAGAAAAUGGGCCCCUGAGAACAGAAGCGCAGCCAUGUGGGGAUGGGAACUAGCUGACAUUUAGAAAUAUUCUGGUCAAGAGUUUCAGUUGCUGUUUGUGUUUCGGGGAUGCUGGUGUGAAGCCCAGCUAAGUCAUCAGGUUUAACAGGUAACCCCUGAGUAGAUCAGCAAAGCCCUGUGGGGCACAGAGAGAAGACAGAAGCUGGUGAAAGGCACAUGCCUAGGCCUCCCUGAGAAUCAGGAAGAGUGUCUGGUGAAGUGGAUGUGAUGGGAACAGUUGGAGAGUGUGACUCUGACAACUUAGAGUUACAGGCAAGCACUGUCCUCAGACUUUGGGGGAAGCGUAUUUGAAAAAGUUCAGAUGACAGAUGGAUGCAACUCCAUUCCCUAGGAUGAAGGAAGCUGCUCAAAAACAGAACUAUGACAAACGCAUGUAAGAGGAUCCUAAAAAUUUAAACUUGGAGGAAGCAGCCAAAACGUUUUGUUUUUCAAUGUAGGGAGAGCAAUGGGAAGUAUGUUUGGAUACAGAUUUCAUUCUCAAAGGACCAAUGAAUUUUGUACAUAGUGAAUGGGAAUAGAUAUUCUCACCUAAAUAGCUUGCAUAUAUCAUAUAUCUCAUAUGUUGCAAAUAUAGAAGUUAGGACAUAGAACAUAAAUGAUUAAUGUGGGCGUGUUUCCUUCCUCUGUCUGAAGAAGGCUUUGUUUAUUUGGAGGGCCUGUCAAGGAGAGAGGUUCUGGCCAGGUUUAGAGUAUGAGAGAAAUAGUUUAAGAAAGGGGAUUUUUACUAACAGUUGAUGUAGUCUAUGUAAACUCCCUUUAAUGUUCCAAGAGACAUGAGCAAAUAAUGGUAUCCCCUCUUGUUUUUCAUAGUCUGUUGAACUGUACUUUUGGUAAGGAGUGAACCAUCCAUGUCUCAUAAAAUAUUGCCUUCAACUUUGGUGUAUAAAAAAGUGAGAUACGAGGGAAUAUAGCUUUGUACUCUCAAAGGCCUUUGUGUUCGUUUAUUUUGGGCUCCAUUUCAUUCUAGGGUUUGGGCUUUCCUGUUUUUCCUCUGCUGCUUCCUUUACUGGGAAUAAUUCCUUUCCUUCUCUUCUCCAUGUAGUGAACUCCUGCACACACUUGAAGAGCCAACCCACUUAUCACCUGCUCUCUGAAACCUUCCCCAGCUUCCCUGGGCAUGAAGAACUCCACUUUUGCCGAUGGACGACUACCACGUUGGAUUGUUAAUAGUUUCUGUGAGAUUAUAAACUCCCUGAGGUCUCAUUGCUCUCUAUAUCCUCGUUAUCUAGCCCAGAGCCUGCCAAGUAUACAUAAAUGAUUGAAGCAUGAAGCACAGAAAGUCCUUCAUGGUGAAUGGACUUCGUUUCUUUUUGUUUUUCUGUGUGGAGGGACUGAGAGCAACAUUUCCGGCCUCCCCUUGCUCUGCUCCCCAUCCCCUUCAUGUCUCCCCAGGGGAGAAGGAAGGAUACCUCUGAUUAGCUUGGGCUCCUUGGUCAGUCUUCAUGCAGUUGGACUUGACUGAGAGGUGAGUUUAAUUCUGGGGUGAAGCAUGAGGAAGUUCACUGUGGCCCUGCACCUGAACCAGCUGUUAUCAGUAAUAAGUCUGACAAGCUGAUCUCAGUCUGGCUGACUGACUCCCUGUGUCUCUUUCUCAAUUGGUUCCUGACUCAGGAAUGGAAAAGAGGCAUUAUCUAUUGCUCCCUUGCUAAACCCCCAACAUCUGACAUUUGUACAGUGCUUUUCAGUUUACAAAGCACUUCCACAUCCAUUAUUUCGAGGGUUGUAAAUAAGGUAACAAAGUGCUGUGGGAGUUUUGGGAGCAAGUGAUUAAUUUCAGCUGGGGAAGCCACAGCUCACGUGGAGCUGCGUGUCUGUAGGCCUCGUUCAGCACAGGUGUCUGGCUGGAAAGUCUCUGAAUUCUGCCCCUUCCAAGCCUUUAUAAAAAGAAGGGAACCAGCAGGGGACAUUAGCCUAUUUCCAGAAUUUGCCUUAUCUACCGCCUAGUUUGCUUUUUCUGAUCCCCUGCACAUCUUGUGUGUCUUCCCCCGAGUUCUGACGUCUAUUGGUUAUUCUCUGUUAUUUCCAGUUCUUACCUCGGAGGCCCAGGCUUUGUCAAUCUCUUUGGACAUGCUACUGCUCCGUGACCUGGCAUCCCUAUGGGUCAGGACCUGAUAAUCACUCUCUAGGAUCAUGCUCUGUGACCAUUGCUCCUUUCCCCAAUCUCACCACCAUAAAAUCAGCUGGCACAGACAGCUUCGAGCUCUAACGUUCUGUCAUCAUUGGCCUUAAUAGCUUUAGAAGCGACUGGAUCUCUUUGCUCAGUCACAGCAAAGGCCUCAUGACAUCAGAGGUAUUGUCACAUUGGAGGCACACACCGGGUGACUUUGUAGAUGCCAGCAGUUUUCCCAGGAUGUGGGUCCACCAACAGACACUGCAUUGAUGUGGAUGUGCUAAAAGGCAUUUUGGAACAAACAGCUUCCACAAAAGUGCCAAAUUCUAAUUGACAUUGUUUUUCAAAGUGUUAGAAUAUAAAUUGAAUUUCAAGGCAAAGGGAAAAAAAUUAGAAUUGGAAGUAAAGAAAGUGAAUUUGCAAGCAGAAAUGAAAUGAGUCAAUCUAAUUUCAAAGUCUGUCCUGAACCAAGGGUAAAAUAACAAACAGUGUUUGUGAAAAAAGAGAAUCUAAUAUUUAUAAGGGGUUCAACAUCUAAGGGAUGAUAAAUUGCACUUGAGAGGAAACGCUGCAUUAGAUAAAUUUUAUCUUGACACUGAACCCUUUAACAUGCCUGUAGAGCUUGUCUUGUACAUCUGUUGUAGCCCACAUACCAGUCUGUCCCUGGUAGUCACCGAAGGGUUAUUUUGCUGAGAAAAAUCUGUUUGACUUAGAAGCUGGAAGAAGGGAGAGGCAAGCACAGAGAUUGGAAUCUAAAUGAGUAACAGAAAAACUUCAAAUGCCACCAUGGCAGGAAAAAGAUGAACAAGUCUAUGAUAAUUGACGCCUCUUCUUACAUCCAAUUCCAUUCUAUAUGAUCUCCAAACACAUUCUUAGCCUGGUUUGACAUCAUUUAUGUCUGUUUGGAAUCACAAUAGAGAACAUGACAAAGGAAGUUGAAGUGGAGUGCAUUGUUGGGUGAAAUUAUUUGUGGAGAUACAAACCCAUGGAGAUGGGACAUGAGGUGGUUCUGUUUCACCGUGGGCCCUAAGUACCUGUGGGUCUUCUUUGAUAACAGGUGUUGAUGGGACAGAAGGACAAGGAGAGAAGGACAGAGUUCAAGGUUGGGAGUAUAUAGGCUUGGGUGGGUAGGGAGUUAGGGGCUAACUGAAAUCCUGUGUGUGUCUGUGUGUAUGCGCGCAUAUAUGCGUGAAUGCCUACAAUGAAUGUAGAGUGAAAAUCGGAAUCUAAUGAGUGGGGUAUGUAGUUGUGGUGGGGUGAGGUUAUGGCCACCAGUUUCUGUUAUAACAUCUCCUUUCUUUGCUUCAUGAUUCAGCUUCUUUAUUUGGUGAUUGACUUCGCUCAUCAAAGCUUCAGAAGGGACAUGUAAGACAAGGCACUUAAUGCAAAUAAUCCAAACUAUGCCUUUAGGAUAAUCUAGGUAAAGGAUAAACAUUAACCAGUGUUUGUUUAAUAUCAAGUAUGGGGGCGCCUGGGUGGCACGGUCGGUUAAGCGUCCGACUUCAGCCAGGUCACGAUCUCGCGGUCCGUGAGUUCGAGCCCUGCGUCAGGCUCUGGGCUGAUGGCUCAGAGCCUGGAGCCUGUUUCCGAUUCUGUGUCUCCCUCUCUCUCUGCCCCUCCCCUGUUCAUGCUCUGUCUCUCUCUGUCCCAAAAAUAAAUAAACGUUGAAAAAAAAAAUAAAAAAAAAU
ensembl:lncRNA